GGCCACACCAUGAAAACAACCUAUGCUCAGUGUCCUCUCCACAGUUACUGAAAACACUGAUUCUAGUCAUGGAAUGGAGCUGGGUCUUUCUCUUCCUCCUGUCAGUAACUGCAGGUGUCCAAUCCCAGGUUCAGCUGCAGCAGUCUGGGGCUGAGCUGGUGAAACCUGGGGCUUCAGUGAAGCUGUCCUGCAAGGCUUCUGGCUACACCUUCACCAGCUACUAUAUGGACUGGGUGAAGCAGAGACCUGGACAGGGCCUGGAAUGGAUUGGAAAUAUUUAUCCUGGAAAUGGUGGUACUGCCUACAAUGAGAAGUUCAAGGGCAAGGCCACACUGACUGCAGACACAUCCUCCAGCACAGCCUACAUGCAACUCAGCAGCCUGACAUCUGAGGACUCUGCAGUCUAUUACUGUGCAAGACACAGUGUUGUAACCACAUCCUGAGUGUGUCAGAAAACCUGGAGGAGAAGAAAGGUUCCCUGGGACUGAGAUGACAGAAAGAUCAAUCUUUAGACUUGCUUAGAAAUAGUAAUUUUGAAUGUCCAUUUAUUGCCUUCUCUUCACAGUCCUUUGUCAGCUUUGUAAACGUCCAUCUAUGAAUAAAGUGAUUCUGUUUGGAUAAACCUAAAGUUCUCCA